rnacentral:rRNA from 1 species
UACGUAGGUGGCAAGCGUUGUCCGGAAUUAUUGGGCGUAAAGCGCGCGCAGGCGGUUCUUUAAGUCUGAUGUGAAAGCCCACGGCUCAACCGUGGAGGGUCAUUGGAAACUGGGGGACUUGAGUGCAGAAGAGAAGAGUGGAAUUCCACGUGUAGCGGUGAAAUGCGUAGAGAUCGGGAGGAACACCAGUGGCGAAGGCGGCUACCUGGACCAGCACUGACACUGAGGCACGAAAGCGUGGGGAGCAAACAGG